UACGUAGGGUGCAAGCGUUAAUCGGAAUUACUGGGCGUAAAGCGUGCGCAGGCGGUGAUGUAAGACAGGUGUGAAAUCCCCGGGCUUAACCUGGGAACUGCAUUUGUGACUGCAUCGCUGGAGUGCGGCAGAGGGGGAUGGAAUUCCGCGUGUAGCAGUGAAAUGCGUAGAUAUGUGGAGGAACACCGAUGGCGAAGGCAGCCCCCUGGGUCAAAACUGACGCUCAUGCACGAAAGCGCGGGGAGCAAACAGG
rnacentral:rRNA from 1 species